rnacentral:tRNA from 1 species
UGCAGUGUCACCUAAUGGUAAGGUACUCGGCUCAUAACCGAGAGUAUGCGAGUUCAACUCUCGCCGCUGCGACCA